UCAGUAGCUCAGUUGGUUAGAGCGCCGGCCUGUCACGCCGGAGGUCGUGGGUUCGAGCCCCAUCUG
rnacentral:tRNA from 4 species